ensembl:lncRNA
CUUUCACAAACAUUUCUCUUUUCACGCAUUGGAGACUGUUGUGUGAUACAAAGACCUGAUUGCUAUAGUCCCGAAUCUUGAACGUUAAAAAAUAUAUAUUUAACGAGGAACCUACAGUUUUCAGAAAAAAAAACAGUGAGAAGAUGAAGCCAGUGAACAGUCUUUACAGUUGUUGACUAAACGUCACUGUGAGACCACCCUGCAGUAGGAUAUUUGCAAGGAGGAGGUAAUGUGACAGAAGAGCUGGUGCAGGGAUUACAGUCUCUGCAUCAGUGUCAGGAAAACAAAGGAGAUGAUCAUGGAGCUAAUACAGAUCCUCAAAGGACUUCUGGCAGCAGCCUCCCAAAAACCACAGACAUGUACAUAAGCAGAUGCUGGAAAGAGC